rnacentral:rRNA from 1 species
AGAGUUUGAUCCUGGCUCAGAUUGAACGCUGGCGGCAGGCUUAACACAUGCAAGUCGAGCGGUAACAGAGAGUAGCUUGCUACUUUGCUGACGAGCGGCGGACGGGUGAGUAAUGCUUGGGAAUAUGCCUUUGAGUGGGGGACAACAGUUGGAAACGACUGCUAAUACCGCAUAAUGUCUACGGACCAAAGGGGGGGACGCUUCGGCACCUCUCGCUCAUAGAUUAGCCCAAGUGAGAUUAGCUAGUUGGUAAGGUAAAGGCUUACCAAGGCGACGAUCUCUAGCUGGUUUGAGAGGAUGAUCAGCCACACUGGGACUGAGACACGGCCCAGACUCCUACGGGAGGCAGCAGUGGGGAAUAUUGCACAAUGGGCGAAAGCCUGAUGCAGCCAUGCCGCGUGUGUGAAGAAGGCCUUCGGGUUGUAAAGCACUUUCAGUUGUGAGGAAAGGUGUGUAGUUAAUAACUGCAUACUGUGACGUUAGCAACAGAAGAAGCACCGCUAACU